UACAGAGGGGGCAAGCGUUAUUCGGAAUUAUUGGGCGUAAAGGGCGCGUAGGCGGCUUUUCAAGUGACGGGUGAAAUCCCUCGGCUUAACCGAGGAACUGCCUGUCAGACUGGAAGGCUUGAGACCGGGAGAGGUGAGUGGAAUUCCCAGUGUAGCGGUGAAAUGCGUAGAUAUUGGGAGGAACACCAGUGGCGAAGGCGGCGUUCUGGACUGCAACUGACACUGAGGAACGAAAGCCAGGGGAGCAAACGGG
rnacentral:rRNA from 1 species